UAGAGUGGAGUGCAUUGAAGCACUAAAUGCGAAUGUCAUUCCUCAUUAAUUUCAGAGGCGGACAGGCCUAAACAAAUGUUAUGGCUGCCAAGGACAACGCAGCAGACUCUUUGUGCGGCUUUGCGGCUCUGUGGGCCUUGUGUUGAGACUAGGGGCAGGGUAAAAACUUUGGCGAUGCGGUCUCACUUUAAAUUCACUUAGAACUUGAGCUUGUUCCCCUGCUGAUCCGUUUUUGCAGAGGGGAACUCUCAUUAGGCCAGAGGCUUAGCACCUGAAUGCUUGUCCGAACUGAAAUGGUGCCCAAAUUGGGCUGCACACGAGAUCUGCCUAAUGGUCGUUGACAACUUUUGACCCGCAAAUACAAGGAGAGUAACCCACAAUUGAAGAAGCGUAGCUCGUUUGAGGAGGUGGAUGUGGAGUAGAGGCAGCCUCAUUCCAACAGAUGGAGCAGAGGCCUGAGAAUAAUGGCAGCAUUCCUGCUUCGUGUUUUCUCCUGCAAUUUGGUUUUAACGGCAGCAAAAUGUGAAAAUGUCAGGCACUCAAGCAUCUCAGCACAAGCACAAAACAAAAA